rnacentral:rRNA from 1 species
GACGAACCGUCCAAACGUUAUUCGGAAUCACUGGGCUUAAAGGGUGCGUAGGCGGCGCGGAAAGUUGGGUGUGAAAUCCCUCGGCUCAACCGAGGAACUGCGCCCAAAACUGCCGUGCUCGAGGGAGAUAGAGGUGAGCGGAACUUAGGGUGGAGCGGUGAAAUGCGUUGAUAUCCUAAGGAACACCGGUGGCGAAAGCGGCUCACUGGAUCUCUUCUGACGCUGAGGCGCGAAAGCCAGGGGAGCGAACGGG